UUGUAUCCCUAUGAACGUUUUAGAGUAAUAAAACAGUGUGUUUAGAUGAAAAAAGAAAACCCCCAACGCUAGCCUCUUGCCGCAAAAAAAUAAACAAAAAUGCCAGCCUCUUCCAUUGGUGUCUCCUCCUCGCUGGAGAACAGCGGCGGCAAACUUCUUCUCACUCUCGCCUCGCACUGUCUCCCCAAUCCGGCUGAGAGCCUCUUGCACACUGCUGACUCGCUCUCCUUUGCCUCAGCUAGCCGUCCUCCUGCCAUCGCUUAGCGGCGAGAACACCACGACGCCGCUCGCUCUUCUCCCGCCGACCUCAUCUCCUCCUAGAUCUCUGCAGAGCGCCUCCUGUUGGAUGACCUCGCGUGUGCGCCGCCCGCCGCUUCACACAUGAGCGCCGCCAUCUUGCUUCCGUUCUGGAGAGCCUCCCGACAGCCGCCGCUGGCCUCUCCAUUCUCCCCCGCGCCUGCCUGCCCUCCGCCUCGCCUUGCUUCCGCCCAAGGUAGUUAAUUGUAAGGGCGAUCUUGCACAGUUCUACCUGAUGCACUGCGUAAUCAAGUCUUUCCAGACUUGUUGAGCGCCUUUCCCCAGCUUCAGCCAAGUGUUGAUAUCAAAACGGUGCCAUCUCAACUCAUGGAUAUACUGCCACAAGUCCUGAAAAUCUACAGCCGACAGACCUAGCACAUUGAGGGGAACAUCAUACAUGGUGGGCUGACAACAUUCUGAAAAUUAAUACGCAAUUAUCCUGAUUCCCGAAGCAGAAUUGUUAGAGAUCAUACUGAAUUUUCAGCAACAACAUACAUGAGCUUCAGAGAGGAGAAGCAACAGAAAUGCUGCUUCAGACCAAACAAGGCAUGCUCUCUGUAUCUCUCCUCUUCUUUAAGGAUUCGUAGUAGCAAGGUUGAGCAAUAUCAGAAAUUCAGAAGCAUGAGAGACAGGGUGCAAUUAGUGUUGUAGGUUCAAUUCCGGUUUGCUAAUUAGGAUGCAACCAACUACAAUAGCAAAGUAAAAUAUGAGACGCGGGCAGGUUUUAAUUACUACAUUAACGCGGGACCACUAUUACCAAGAAUUGGAAGACGAUGGCCACUAGAGCAUGAUGAUGCAUUGCAGAGUAUGUGGACGACUGAAACAUGGCAAGAUUUGAAACAGGAUGAUUAAGAGCAGUGCUAAACUGAACCAAAAGCGUACAGUUGAUGAAUCCAUAUGCAAAGUCCACCAAGUUACCAAAGUAAUUUAAAUAAUCUUUAAAUAACACAAUCCAAAAUCAUCGAUCCACAGCAUAUAUAAGAUUAUAAGGUCAGUCCUAAUAGGAUAUAUAGCCAUAAGUAUCUUACAACUGAACUUGUGGUAGCUAAAUAGCUCCGAUACUGAACAUGUAGUUAUUGUUCAGCUAUUUGCAAUAUGAUAAAGGAUACAAAUGCUUCACAUCUCUUGUUUUCUCUUCUAUUAUAUGCUUUACAAAGGUUAGUCAGUAGGAGAUGCACUUGUUCUGUGGGUCUAAUUUUUGACUUCUAUAUAACUAUCAGUUUUAAACAUAUAUUGGAUGACUGAAACAUGUCAAGAUUUGGCCUCACUCUAAUUUCUACCCUUGGUGACAGACUGAAAGAACUGGAUCAUCAGCCUCCACGAUGAGACACACACAGCAAGGCAGACUCGGCCCUGCUUCAGCGAGUACAGGGGUUUGUCAACUGUCAGCGUCCGAGCUCAGACCGCUCAUCACACCUCCAACAAUGCUCAUGAACACCUCAUGCAUGAGAUCCAACGGAAGAAGGAAGACUUGUAUGAUGUGAUAGCCAAGCAAUAGUACGGCAACAGAGGUAUCUUUGGAAAGCUUUCGACGGCUGUAGGCAACAUUGGUUGGCUGGACGGACGUUCUUAUUCCUCCAGCGAACUCGGCAGCAACAUUGGACGUUCCGUCGAAAAUUGCAAUUUCGACGGGCUUUGAUGGAGCUUGAUUGAUGGAGAUUCCGGCCGAGUUCCUUUCCUUCUUAUAGGAGGCAACACAAAUCGGGGUCGGGCACUGAAUUGCUUGGAGUUGGAGAAGGACACGGACUGCAAUUUUCCAUCCAAAUCACGACAGAGAAGCACACCGAAGAUUGGGAAGGAUACAACGGAAGAGGCCGGAGGGGACUGGCAGCCGCGGACAGCAAGCGAGCGAGCGUACGAUGGCCGCCGUCGCCGUCGGGAUAGCUCGCUGCAGCGGCAUCCUCCUCAUCCUGAUUCUCUCCGUCGUGAUGGUCUGGGAGUCCGCGCUGGUCGUGAUGGCCUGGGAGUCCGCGCUGGUGGGGGAUAGGUGCGCCGUGGGCUCGCAGUCGCCGUGCGGUGCCGGGAUGCAUUGCGCCUCCUGCUCCCCGCUCGUCGGGGCUCCUGCUCCGCCACCUCGUCUGUCGUCGCCGGCACGGCCUCGGGGUCCCCCUGGUGGGCGACAGGUGCGCCGCGGGCUCGCAGUCACCAUGCGGCGCCGGCAUACGUUGCGCCUCCUGCUCCCCGUUGGCCGGGGCCCCUGCUCCGCCACCCGUCCACCCCGUUCGCCGCGGCGGCCUGCAACACUGCCGGUGUGACAGUGAGCGUCUGCAUAUACGAAGAAACAGAGGACACGCGAAAGGGCUUCUCUGUUUUAUUGAAUCGUUUUUUCAGAUACACUUACAUAAGGAGUGCGGGUUGAAUACCAAAAAAUAGAAGGGCUUUUCUGUAAAAGUGCCGCGACGACGUACGAGAUUAGGAAAAGAUUUUGACGAAAAUUUUGGUAUCCCAAAUUAGUACCACCUCGUUUAUAUUAUGAUUUUGUUUAUACAAAUCUUUCCCUAAUCCCUAAUAAUAAAGCAUGAAUUGACUCCGUGGAUUCACCGUCACAAUACGCUUCUUCCCAUGAUUUUACACUUUCAGUUUGAAUUUAAAACAUAUGCGCGAGGUGGUGCUAAAAUUGUUUCGUUUGUUG